GCCAUCCAGGACGACGAGCUCAUCUCCUACAUCAUCCACGGGCUAGAGGUCGACUAUCAGACCCUCGUGUCCGCCCUCGAUGCACGCGUCAUGCCGGUCUCCCUCGACGAACUCUACGCCAUGCUGAGCAACUUCGAUC